CCUACGGGAGGCAGCAGUGGGGAAUAUUGGACAAUGGGCGAAAGCCUGAUCCAGCAAUGCCGCGUGAGUGAUGAAGGCCUUCGGGUCGUAAAGCUCUUUUACCAGGGAUGAUAAUGACAGUACCUGGAGAAUAAGCUCCGGCUAACUCCGUGCCAGCAGCCGCGGUAAUACGGAGGGAGCUAGCGUUGUUCGGAAUUACUGGGCGUAAAGAGUACGUAGGCGGUUAUUCAAGUCAGAGGUGAAAGCCCGGGGCUCAACCCCGGAACUGCCUUUGAAACUAGAUAACUAGAGUCUUGGAGAGGUUAGUGGAAUUCCGAGUGUAGAGGUGAAAUUCGUAGAUAUUCGGAAGAACACCAGUGGCGAAGGCGACUAACUGGACAAGUACUGACGCUGAGGUACGAAAGCGUGGGGAGCAAACAGGAUUAGAUACCCUGGUAGCCCACGCCGUAAACGAUGAUAACUAGUUGUUCGGUCACUUGGUGACUGAGUGACGCAGCUAACGCAUUAAGUUAUCCGCCUGGGGAGUACGGUCGCAAGAUUAAAACUCAAAGGAAUUGACGG
rnacentral:rRNA from 1 species